UAACCUGAUGAAUCAAUUGCACAUACUGUUUCAUAUUAGUGGCAAGCUCAUAGAAUAUUAUGAUGACUUUGUUGUACUGCUGAAUAGCGGAACAUCCUGUGGGGGGUUGAAAAGCGCCAUCCUCCAUGACCACCCAGGCUGAAGCAAAAGUAGAACUUCAGAUACUGGGCUUACUUGGCAAAUAUCUGACUGGGCCUUGGAUGAAGCGCUUCUACACUUCAAGCCAGAAUCAGAUCAACCGUGUUGAUGGCAUCAAAGUGGUUAAAGGGGUGAUUGCUACUAUAAAGGAAGCUACAGAAAAUCCAGAGAACUUGAUAUUGGCAA